CUUAUUCAGACUUUUGAAUUUCGUGGUGUUCCAGGGAGCCCCUGGCCACGUGGUUGGCCCGGAAGCCCACCUGCCCGGUCCAGAGCAACAUCCUGAAGAGCCAGCCUGUAAAAUAAGCACCUGUUUCACUUUUGAAUAAACUCUACACCUCUCUCCCUGCAAAGAAAAACCUUGAACAUUCACGAUGCCAGUGAAGAAAGUAUUAAAGGUACCGCAAUCUAAUUGGAAACAACUUUUUUUUUUUUUUAUUUUCCAUGUGUUAUGGAAAAUGUUGGAAGAACUGACAUUUAAUGAAAGUCAUCUUUUAUUUGCCAUCUCCCUGACUGAACUAAUGCGUGGCGGUCAGCCCCUCCCAAGGGCACUGAUGAUGUGUAAGGCUCGCUCUCUGCUGCCCGUCCCUGGACAUGGUCAUCUGCUCCCCAAGUACCAAGCUGCCUCCGGGUCAGCUGAGGACGAGAGGUUUCGCUCUGGUGCCUUUUGGUUUUGAUCUAAGUAUUGCCUUGUCAUCCACUCACUCCCUUCUCCCUGCAGAGAGGUGAUGGACUUUGCAUUACAAGAUGGACUUUGCAUCGCCCUGAGAAAUCAGGGGAUCUAUCUGCAAGUAAGGUUUUUAAUGAUCCUGUGUUUCUGAGCGUUGCUCAUUGAUAAGCAUUUUGGAGUGGUAAAAUACUAUUCAUAGUAGUCGCCAGUAGAAAAAAAAAAAGGAUAAAUGACUCACCAACAACCGACACAUAACGUAUGGUAGCUGGUCGAAUAAUUACUAAAAGUAGGAAGAAGUUUGAAAGAUUCCAUCUAAUGCCUCUGGGCACUGUGAUAAAGGUCUGGGUGGACAUUAAAACAUGUUCUUACUGGUCAAGAACCUUCAGAUCUGUGAAAAUGUAUAGUAUGGGCAAUGAGGACCACAGACUUAUUAGCAUAUGUGUGUUUUUACCCUAUCCAAUUUAAAGAAACAGUUUUAUAAAGUGUUGGGAAAAUACUAUGUUUGGUAAGGGUGAGUUCAAAAUAUUCUCAUACCUCUAAAUUUGCAGAAAUGGCUCUAUUAAAAUUAAAGUGUUAAUGGCGGGUGGACUCUGGACACCUGACAGAUUGCCGAUGAACAAUGUUCUGGGACUUUGCAGUGGGGAGCGGAGGUCGCAUUGCCUCGUUCCCUGUGUGCUCUGUGGGAUCGCUCCGUCUCUGCAAAGUCCACAUGCGGGAGGUUCAGGAGAGGCCCGACGGUCGCUUAAUCCUUCCUGGGUUGGAUUUUCACUGGAUGCUUCAACCCAUCUCAUCGCUUUUCUGUAAGAAAAAAUGUUCUCCCUCUGUAGCACAUUUUAGCUGUUUUUUGUUGUUGUUGUUGUUGUUGUUGUUUGUUUUUAAUCCCUCCCUGCAAUGUUUUCUAAGCUUAAAAGGUCUUUCUAUUUCCUCUAGGAAAGAGGAUACUAAUAUUUCAAAGACGCAUCACUGGACUUAAUGGGAAAUGCUUUCUAAAUGACAUUGAAGCUGGUCUUUAAUCAGAGUUAUGCAAAGACUGGGGACAGCACCCUCCGCCCACAACAAAUUUUCAUGUCAUUGAUUACAUAAACCUUUGCGAUUAUCACUGCAAAGAAAUCCCCUCAUUUUUGUUACCUGAUAUUCUAUUCAAAGGAAAAUCAUUCUGGCUUCUCUCUCUCUCUCUCUCCUCUCCUCUCCUCUCUCCUCUCUCCUCUCUCCUCUCUCCUCUCUCUCUCUCAUCCUCUUACUUAACAGGUUUCAAUUGGUUUACAAUCAUUUUAGCUAUGAUCAAAGUAUUUUAAGCAGCUAUGGACAGACUUUGGUUUUCCACCACUGUGCUGCUGCUGCCCACGUGUCCACGCCUCACCCCCACUCCCCCGGUGGUUGCACGAGCCCCCCGUGGGGGUUUUCAUGGGGGUCCCACUGCAUGGGGCCCUCCUUCACACAGCAGCUCUCCUUUAGGUGGGAUGCUUGGGAUUCCUGGGACACUUGUGACAUUUUUCAUUUCUGUGUGACUCUUUCAUUCUCUCCUUUUUUUCUCUUCCUACAAGAAGCACAAUUAGAAAUUAAUACUUUUAAGCUACACCAAGCCAUUUAAUCCCACUAAAGGAACCUAUGUCAAAUGACAUUAAUCACAGGUUAAUUUUUAGGGUUAUUUCUAGAUACAGUUGCUGCUUGGCUGGCUUUCAUGAGGAACUGGCUUUAGUCUCACAUUUAAAUUUUUUAGAACUGGUUCCCAGUGUUGUUGAGGGCCCUUUCUCCAAGCGAGAUGAGCCAUCAGCUGUCAACCCCGCAGGGCACCCACAUUUUACACGAAGGAGAAGAACACAAAAUUUCUAAGGACUUGUAUUAAAGAUGGGUCAUACAUUUUUUUUAGCAGAUGAAUCAGUUUUAUUGAAUGGCCACAUGUAGCAUUGUCAAAAAUGUGGUACAUGUUCCAGAAACAUCAGCAAUGGAGACCUGUUCUCUUUUGAAAAUGCAGUCCACUCUGCAAAGGGACUCAGAGCAUCAUCAAAACCAAAUUCAGAACCUGACACAAAGUGUGCCCUUCCUAGUGAAAACUGUCUCGCAAAGAAUUUUCAAAAGAUCACGUUAGUUCUGCCACAGAAAGCAAUCAAGCCUAUUGCUCGUGACCAGGGUCAGGAGCAAUUCUCAUUCAACAAACGUGGUACUUUGUUUGCAUGAUGACAGUAACUAAUCAAGGACACUGUAAGACCUCAAAGGAGAAACGUAGAGAUAGAAAACCGCUCUAUGUCAUUUCUUAAACGAACAAUUUUAUUUGGCGCAAAAGAAAAUUCAUUCCACCAUAUUAAGAAAGAUGAGGCCAGUUUUUCAGACAUGCUCCUGUUUUUUCUCAGCUUCUUGGCCAUGUAAUGCCGAGGGUCCAAAUAUUAGAUGAAUGGUAAAUUCAUCUGAUUUACCAAUCUAAUUCAUCACGUUAGGUAAAUCCAGGUUCUGGAAAAAUUCAAACUGUCCUGUCACGUUGCUAAGGAGAGAGCGUUCUUGGCCCGCCCUCUAAGUUCACAUAGUUUAAUUUCCUAUAAAAAGUCGCCAGUGCCUUUUUAAGAUGUCGAUUUAGUGUUCCAUUUGGAGAGUAUUGGUUCCAAUUCAAAGCAGAGGGUUGAUUGGCUAUUCUCUGAAGAAAAUCCUCCUUUUAUGUCUCUUUGAACUCAGGAAUGGAAAAUAACUAAGAAGCACGUCAUCUUCAGAUGUGAUUUUCAUCCCUACUGGGGGUGUGACACGGAGUAGGUACAAUGGUGUGUUCAGAAUUUAGGUGAGCCCAGCCUCCACUUUUCAGAAGCUGACAUCACUUUAAUCUUACAUCCUCCCAAAAACAUCUUAGCAUUUGCUCUGUGUAGGAAUAUCGGUGUGAUGCCUGUGGAAGUUACAGGUUUUUGUUACUGUCCCUUUUCAGGCAAGUCUAUAGAUACAGGAAAAUCAGACACAGGCUGGUGACAGCUGCCACAGAUAAGGUGAGUGGAAGAGAACCACCUAGAAUAUUCUCUACUGGUUGUUUCUUUAAGUCAGAAAACUGCUUCACAAGUUCACAAAGUUGUCACUCUUGAUUUAGGUUAAGAAAGUUAACUUUUCUCUGCUGAAGUUGAUUGUUUUUCCCCUGUACCGUGACUGUUGGCCAAAAUCAAACUUGAACUUCUGCCCUUUGAAACAAAGCACAGUACGAACCUUUAACCCAAGCACGUGCAUUCACCACCAAAAGUAACACAUCAUCGGUAAGGAAACGCACAGACUUGGUCCAAUGUAGGAUUAUUCAAAAGUGUGUAACAAAACGUAUGUGUUAUGCCACUUGACGUGACUUUUGAAAAUGUUAUGAAAUGUUAAACGCCUCAUUCUGUGUUAAUUUGCUGUUGCUGUUUUGUGAUACAAAAUAAACUUACCUGGGAUUGUUUCAUUUUUCUCAUCGAACCUUCUCUGAAUCCCACUUCAGCCCUUGGUAAACUUGCAGAAAGUUACUGCCCUUAAAUUAAUUUUUUAAAGGCCAUAUGUAUUAAUCAUAAUGGAGGUUUUCUGGAAUGAGACAGCAUCACCUUCCCCUUCAUCUGAGUAAGAAAAUGGAGCUUUGUUUGGCCUCCUGGAAUAUUUGUGGAUGGCCGAGUAUUUUCUGAUUGGGCCGUUGGGUGCACCACACGUAUUUUGAGUCCUUACAUUCAAUGUUCAAGGUUUCCCUUGAAAUGUUAGAAUGUGAAAUGCGAAUUUCCAGUGGUCUUCGCUUUUAUCUUUUUUGUCCAUCAAUUCACUGGUCUGAAAUGCUCCCUCGAGAGGUGUCCAGGUCUAUGUCUAAAAAAGCGGUUUAAUGAUACCUGACAGAUAUUUCGUUUUCAAAAAUGAGUUGAAGACACCAGUCGUGGCCGCCGCGGCCGGGCGCUCGUUGCCCGUGACAUUGGAACCAUUGCGGAAGUUCAGAGAAGGAAGUGGGGGCAGGGCGUUACCUGACCAGUCGACGGACACUGACUGGCACCUGCUCCCAGCCUCAACCCUGAGGAAAACAAACAUAUUUAUGAGAUAAAAUGAGCUGCUAUUAUAGAAGUAAAAGUGCCAUGCUCAUUCACUGCUCUGGGCGAAUUGCCAAUUUCUAUAUCCCGAACCGAUUCAUCUUUUUAAAAUAAAUAAAUAAACAGAUUCAUGAGGAAUGGUUUUAAGAACUGCCACUGAUGCAGCAAACUUCCUUUCACAGGAACCCCCUCCUCCCCUCUAUCUGGGGCAAAAUAAGAGAAUCCUGAUUCUGUACAGUAUAAAUUGUAUUAUAUUUUUUGUACUUAUGUUUUAUGUAAAUAGUUUGUCUCAUUUAAUUGUAUGUGAGCAUUGAAAUAAAUCCUACCGUUUAGGAAACCA